rnacentral:misc_RNA from 1 species
GCAAGGUUUAUAAAGGAGUGCUCAAUGACGGCAUUAAAGUUGCCGUGAAACGGUUAACUGAUUAUGAGAGUCCUGGGGGAGAUGCUGCAUUUCAGCGAGAAGUUGAGAUGAUAAGUGUGGCUGUUCAUAGGAAUCUCUUACGGCUUAUAGGAUUUUGCACCACACCGACUGAACGCCUGCUAGUAUACCCAUAUAUGCAGAAUUUAAGUGUUGCUUAUCGUCUACGUGAACUUAAACCUGGGGAGCCUGUUUUGAAUUGGCCAACUAGGAAGCGUGUGGCGGUGGGUACUGCA